rnacentral:lncRNA from 1 species
CCCCCAGUUAUCCCACAAGUUUUUCAAGACAAAGCUCUUUCUACCUGAGUAAAAUACUCUUUUCUCCAAGCAAGACACGGACAAAAAUACCAGAAUUAUUUAAAAUACUUUCAGUUCACACAUCAUUUCACCAGGAGGAGACACCUGCCCAGAAACUAUUUUAAUCAGCCUGUUCCUGAAAGACUGUAUCCUGUAGAAAUGGACCAACACUGGAGCAAUUAGUGAAGAACUGCAGCCCAAAGGAAUAACCCACGUUGGAGGAGGCUGAGAAGGACAGUUUCCUAUAGGAUGGACCCCAUGACAGAGCAGGGGAAGAGCAUCAGGAGGGAGAAGCACCAGUGACAAAGUGCUGUGAAUAGUCUGUAACCCUUCAAGUUGAGUCUUGUAAGAUGUGUGUGUGGCAAAAAGUGGUUUUAGAUUUGCUCUAAUUUCUCCCCAUCCUAGUCUGAUAUUAAUUAGCAUUAAUUAAAAUCAAUUUCCCCAAGAUCAUCUUGUUUUUCCUAUCAUGGUAAAUGGUAAGAGAUCUCUCAACCCCUAUUCUGAUCCAAAACUCUCCCCUGUGUUUUAAUUAACUGAGCGGG